rnacentral:rRNA from 1 species
GUUUAUUUGAUAUUACAUUACUACUUGGAUAACCGUGGUAAUUCUAGAGCUAAUACAUGCUAAAAACCUCGACUUCGGAAGGGGUGUAUUUAUUAGAUAAAAAACCAAUGCCCUUCGGGGCUCCUUGGUGAUUCAUGAUAACUUAACGAAUCGCAUGGCCUUGUGCCGGCGAUGGUUCAUUCAAAUUUCUGCCCUAUCAACUUUCGAUGGUAGGAUAGUGGCCUACCAUGGUUUCAACGGGUAACGGGGAAUUAGGGUUCUAUUCCGGAGAGGGAGCCUGAGAAACGGCUACCACAUCCAAGGAAGGCAGCAGGCGCGCAAAUUACCCAAUCCCGACACGGGGAGGUAGUGACAAUAAAUACUGAUACAGGGCUCUUUGGGUCUUGUAAUUGGAAUGAGUACAAUUUAAAUCCCUUAACGAGGAACAAUUGGAGGGCAAGUCUGGUGCCAGCAGCCGCG